rnacentral:rRNA from 1 species
CAAGUCGUACGCUUCUUUUUCACCGGAGCUUGCUCCACCGGAAAAAGAAGAGUGGCGAACGGGUGAGUAACACGUGGGUAACCUGCCCAUCAGAAGGGGAUAACACUUGGAAACAGGUGCUAAUACCGUAUAACAAUCGAAACCGCAUGGUUUUGAUUUGAAAGGCGCUUUCGGGUGUCGCUGAUGGAUGGACCCGCGGUGCAUUAGCUAGUUGGUGAGGUAACGGCUCACCAAGGCCACGAUGCAUAGCCGACCUGAGAGGGUGAUCGGCCACAUUGGGACUGAGACACGGCCCAAACUCCUACGGGAGGCAGCAGUAGGGAAUCUUCGGCAAUGGACGAAAGUCUGACCGAGCAACGCCGCGUGAGUGAAGAAGGUUUUCGGAUCGUAAAACUCUGUUGUUAGAGAAGAACAAGGAUGAGAGUAACUGUUCAUCCCUUGACGGUAUCUAACCAGAAAGCCACGGCUAACUACGUGCCAGCAGCCGCGGUAAUACGUAGGUGGCAAGCGUUGUCCGGAUUUAUUGGGCGUAAAGCGAGCGCAGGCGGUUUCUUAAGUCUGAUGUGAAAGCCCCCGGCUCAACCGGGGAGGGUCAUUGGAAACUGGGAGACUUGAGUGCAGAAGAGGAGAGUGGAAUUCCAUGUGUAGCGGUGAAAUGCGUAGAUAUAUGGAGGAACACCAGUGGCGAAGGCGGCUCUCUGGUCUGUAACUGACGCUGAGGCUCGAAAGCGUGGGGAGCAAACAGGAUUAGAUACCCUGGUAGUCCACGCCGUAAACGAUGAGUGCUAAGUGUUGGAGGGUUUCCGCCCUUCAGUGCUGCAGCUAACGCAUUAAGCACUCCGCCUGGGGAGUACGACCGCAAGGUUGAAACUCAAAGGAAUUGACGGGGGCCCGCACAAGCGGUGGAGCAUGUGGUUUAAUUCGAAGCAACGCGAAGAACCUUACCAGGUCUUGACAUCCUUUGACCACUCUAGAGAUAGAGCUUCCCCUUCGGGGGCAAAGUGACAGGUGGUGCAUGGUUGUCGUCAGCUCGUGUCGUGAGAUGUUGGGUUAAGUCCCGCAACGAGCGCAACCCUUAUUGUUAGUUGCCAUCAUUUAGUUGGGCACUCUAGCAAGACUGCCGGUGACAAACCGGAGGAAGGUGGGGAUGACGUCAAAUCAUCAUGCCCCUUAUGACCUGGGCUACACACGUGCUACAAUGGGAAGUACAACGAGUCGCGAAGUCGCGAGGCUAAGCUAAUCUCUUAAAGCUUCUCUCAGUUCGGAUUGUAGGCUGCAACUCGCCUACAUGAAGCCGGAAUCGCUAGUAAUCGCGGAUCAGCACGCCGCGGUGAAUACGUUCCCGGGCCUUGUACACACCGCCCGUCACACCACGAGAGUUUGUAACACCCGAAGUCGGUGAGGUAACCUUUUGGAGCCAGCCGCC